rnacentral:tRNA from 1 species
GGGGUUGUGGCCCAGUGGUAUGGCACUUGUCUGGCAUACAUGAGGCACUGGAUUCGAUCCUCAGCACCA